rnacentral:rRNA from 1 species
CUAGUUUACUAGGAGAUGGCGACCGGCGCACGGGUGAGUAACGCGUAUAGAAUCUGCCCUUUACUGGGGAAUAGCCCGAAGAAAUUUGGAUCAAUGCCCCAUGGUCCCUUAUUGUGGAUUCACGAUUAGGGUAAAGGUUACGGUAAAGGAUGACUAUGCGUCCCAUUAGUUAGUUGGUAGGGUAACGGCCUACCAAGACUGCGAUGGGUAGGGGCCCUGAGAGGGGGAUCCCCCACACUGGUACUGAGACACGGACCAGACUCCUACGGGAGGCAGCAGUGAGGAAUAUUGGACAAUGGGCGAGAGCCUGAUCCAGCCAUGCCGCGUGCAGGAAGACGGUCCUAUGGAUUGUAAACUGCUUUUAUACGGGAAGAACCUAGGGCACGUGUGCUCUACUGACGGUACCGUAAGAAUAAGGAUCGGCUAACUCCGUGCCAGCAGCCGCGGUAAUACGGAGGAUCCGAGCGUUAUCCGGAAUCAUUGGGUUUAAAGGGUCCGUAGGCGGGCCAUUAAGUCAGGGGUGAAAGUCUGCGGCUCAACCGUAGAAUUGCCUUUGAUACUGGUGGUCUUGAGUUAUGGUGAAGUAACUAGAAUAUGUGGUGUAGCGGUGAAAUGCAUAGAUAUCACAUAGAAUACCGAUUGCGAAGGCAGGUUACUAACCAUAUACUGACGCUGAUGGACGAAAGCGUGGGGAGCGAACGGGAUUAGAUACCCCGGUAGUCCACGCCGUAAACGAUGGAUACUAUCUGUCCGGCAG